CAACCUGCCGCUUACUCGGGGAUAGCCUUUCGAAAGAAAGAUUAAUACCCGAUGGUAUAAAGAGUUCGCAUGUUCUCUUUAUUAAAGAAUUUCGGUAAGCGAUGGGGAUGCGUUCCAUUAGAUUGUUGGCGGGGUAACGGCCCACCAAGUCUACGAUGGAUAGGGGUUCUGAGAGGAAGGUCCCCCACAUUGGAACUGAGACACGGUCCAAACUCCUACGGGAGGCAGCAGUGAGGAAUAUUGGUCAAUGGACGAGAGUCUGAACCAGCCAAGUAGCGUGAAGGAUGACUGCCCUAUGGGUUGUAAACUUCUUUUAUAAGGGAAUAAAGUGAGGGACGUGUCCCUUUUUGUAUGUACCUUAUGAAUAAGGAUCGGCUAACUCCGUGCCAGCAGCCGCGGUAAUACGGAGGAUCCGAGCGUUACCCGGAUUUAUUGGGUUUAAAGGGAGCGUAGGUUGACAUAUAAGUCAGCUGUGAAAGUUUACGGCUCAACCGUGAAAUUGCAGUUGAUACUGUAUGUCUUGAGUGUACAAGAGGUGGGCGGAAUUCGUGGUGUAGCGGUGAAAUGCUUAGAUAUCACGAAGAACUCCGAUUG
rnacentral:rRNA from 1 species